UACGUAGGGUGCAAGCGUUAUCCGGAAUUAUUGGGCGUAAAGAGCUCGUAGGCGGUUUGUCGCGUCUGCUGUGAAAACUGGGGGCUCAACCCCCCAGCCUGCAGUGGGUACGGGGCAGACUAGAGUGCGGUAGGGGGAGAUUGGAAUUCCUGGUGUAGCGGUGGAAUGCGCAGAUAUCAGGAGGAACACCAGUAGCGAAGGCGACACUCUGGGCCGGAACUGACGCUGAGGAGCGAAAGCGUGGGGAGCAAACAGG
rnacentral:rRNA from 1 species